UUUUUCCCAAAUUUCCCCCCUAAAACCCCUAACUUUAUCAUUCUUCUUCUUUCCUUUAGUACACGGGGCUUUGCACAUGACGAACACCGUGAAACAUCAACGGAGACGCUCCGCCAUUAAAUCCAUGUUUGGCAAACAUCGAGCUUCGAUAAUUUUCAAAUCAAGGUCGCCAUGCAAAAAUACAACAGGAUCCGGAGCAUCUUCCCCUAUUGAAUCAAAUUGAGAAAUAAAGAAAAAUUAUUCAAAGACGGUCAAUGAGAAAAAUGAAGAUGAUAAAUAGCAAUGUAAAAGGUAGGCAAGGUAGGUUAUAGCAGCUUGAAAAUAAAAUUGUUUUUGUUUUUAGUAAUUAAUUAGUGUUCAUAUUGGUGUUGGCAAUAACCGGAGAACAACAAAGUCACUGCCGUGUAGGGACGUUGUUUUCGAAACAUCAGAAUCCCAGUUUGUUUUCUCCGACUAAAGCCAACGUCCAUAACCGAAGGCUGUAACAGGGAGCGAAAUUUCAGAAGUUUACGGUUUUGUUUCUUUUUGGCUAAUGUGGUUCUGUUUAUCAUUAUUUGCCUUUGCUGGCUACUCUCUCAAUUCUUCUUUAUCAUUCUUGUUUUGGGUUUUCAUUUUUUUUUCUAAAUGACUGACAGCUUCGAUGCACCAUUUUUUUUGAACUAUUCUUUUUGCAGCGAUUGGGUUUAAUGUAGAGGCUCUACAAUACAACAACAUCAAGUUUCAAGUUUCAAGCACGGGAGCCAUGAGUAGCUAGUUCUCUAUUUCCUUACUUGGAGAUUGUAGUUCUUAGAGGAAAGAAAGAUUGAAAAAGCUGUUUGAUAUUUGUUCAAUUUUGACAAUUUUGAUAAACUGGUUUUCUUAUGUUGUUAGAUUAGGCUCUGGCUUUUAAGUAAUACGGAUAGGGAUGGAACUUGUGAGAGUUUGUCUUGAAGAAAAGAAUGAUGAUAUUUCAUCAGUUCCACCAGGUUUCGAGCCUCGUGCAUUAUUUACCUUAAAGAGUGAGGCACAGGAUACUAAAAGACAUGAGCGUGAUAAUUUGAUCUGCUGUUCAGCCUCUACUAGAGCCAUUCUAGUUGAAAAGGGAACUGGGUUGGCCAAUGAUGAAAGUUCAAAGAUUACAAGGUCAAUGUCUAUGAGGCGUCGACCUUGGAUAAACUAUGGUCAAUAUGAUAACAGUUCAGAAGAUGAACCCGAUCAUGGAAAGCUCAAUCAACUCAACUGCCGGGAACAACUCAAGAUCACUUGCAAAUAUUUAACAUAGAGAUGAAAGCAAAAAUGAAGUCACAUCAGAUGCCUGAACAUGUCAAAUUCAUUUGUUUUCUCAAAUUUUCUUUGUAAUGGUUCUAUUACAUUCGGCCAUUAGCUUUUGGGCUCUCGACCUUUAUUGUUUUCCUUGAUGGUAAACUUGAUUGCAUGAGUUUAUCAAACCAUCCUGGGUUCUUGUCUAGGUUGUAUUUUGGAAAUGGAUUUCCCCAAAAAUGCUUGGCCUAGUCACACAAACUUCUAUGUAUCAUCGGUCAAUUGAAGAUCAUUCUUCUCUUAUGUAGAAGCCAUUCAUUAGUAUAUUUCAAGGCUGCCAGAUUCAUUCCAGAUAAAGUUUUCAUGAAGCAAAAGAAAUGGGCAGUUCUGAGAAGAAAUUUGCUCGUAAACUCAGUGAGAUCAACGUCGUUGACGAACAGGAACUUAGAGAAGCUUCAGCUAAUAUUGAACCAAAGCAUCAAAACGACGUUGCAGAUUUAAUAAAUAGUUACAAAAGUUUAUACCCAAAAUGGGUUUUUGAUCUCAGGUAAUUUAAAACUCUUAUUUACUUAAUGGUGUAAUUUUGAAUUUCAUUGGAAACUUUAAUUUGUUAGAAUUUGAUCCUCUUAAUUUGCAAAAAUUGGAAAUUUGAUCCUGUUUUUGGUGCAUACAUGCACUUGAACAGUUGGUUUUUGCUAAUUUGUUUUGAUCUCCGAUAGUUUAAAACUCUUAUUUACUUAAUGGUGUAAGUCUGAAUUUCAUUGGAAACUUUAAUUUGUUAGACUUCCAUCCUCUUAUUUUAUAAAAAUUGAAAAUUUCAUUAGUAAAUACAUGAACUUGAACCAUUGAUUUUGUUAAUUUGUUGCAUAUAAAUCGUUAUAGAAAUUAAAGAUUUAGCCCUAUUUCCGUAAAUAUAUGAACUAUAAAUCGUUAAUUUUAAUUUAUUUACUAACCUUGUGUUUGAUUAGGUGAGGAAACCAAGUAGUUCAUUUACAAUGUGUGGUUCAAUGAUAUACACUAAGACCCCUUCAAGGGAAUCCUUAUGUGGAAAUGCGAGAUUAUAAUAUAUAUACAUUUGUUUCAAUUUAUUCUGUUGAGUUUACUUGAAAAUUUGUGGAAUUAUGUAUUACUUGCUUUAUUUUUUAAUAGCUUAUACUGUUAGUGAAUUAGAUAGAUUUACUCCCUAUUAUACCUAUAUCUAAGUUGAAAUUAUAUAUGCCUUUGCAUUCCAAAUAUGAAAAAUUGGAAAUUAGGCAUAGCCUAUUGAAAUUGGUGUUUUGAUAUGAAUGUGUUAUGCUUCUGUUUGUGCAAAUAUGUAUCGUACCAUGGUAGGAUAUUCAACAUUUGAGUUUGUGUUGAACAAAUAUGCAAUGGAAGUGUUUUGCAGGAUUAUCAAAGGAAUUCUCACCAAUAAGGUUUGUUUUACAUGAUUCUUUUAUGUGCAAUUGUUUUUACUAUCAAAUUCAUGCUCAUAUUUUAGUUUAAUAGCUUUUCAUUUUUGAGAUGGUUAUAAUGGGGGUUUUAUUCUACCAAUCAGUUGGUGGGUCUUUUUUUUGUCCUUUUUCAUUUUCUGCUUUUUUUUUUCUAGUUUUGUAAUGGUGAAUGCAGUAUGGUUGAUGGUUUUGUAGGGGAAGAAGUUCUAUUAAUGGGUAUUUACAAUUGAAGAGCGGUAAGGAUGGUAAGUCCCAUGAAAGGAGUGGACAAGAGACAAAUCAACAGAUGUGAAAUUAUAAAUACCAGCUUGAGCAAGAACCAGCUUUGUGCAGGAUUUAUAUCUCAUUCUCAUGCAACAUGCUACCACUUGGGUGAUACAGGUUAAAAAGUUGCAGCAGCAGUUGUAGGAAGAGACCGAUUUGCACUUAGCUCUAGCAAGUGCUGUUGAACAUUGUGGUUCACCUUCUUCUAGUUCUCCAGGCAAGCUUCCGGAUAAGCAAGCAUUACACCAGGGACUGUGUUGAUUUUGUUGGCUGGAAGGUUUAUGGGGAAGAGAGUUGUUUUCUUGAAGCAACUUACUUCUGGGCUCCUUUUGGUCACCGGUGGGCAUUACAUAUUUUACUGCUAUCCUUGUUUCGUCAUUGAUUUGCUUACUGCUUUAAAAUAUUGGAUGUAUGAUAUAUGUUAUUCAAUUGCGAGCUGGAUAUAUGGACAUGUUUGUUAAAACCCUUGUUAUUGAUUUCUGCAGUAUUACUUCCAUAGUUUCUCACUUGGUUUA